rnacentral:rRNA from 1 species
CAGCCAGACUCCUACGGGAGGCAGCAGUGGGGAAUAUUGCACAAUGGGGGAAACCCUGAUGCAGCGACGCCGCGUGAGCGAUGAAGUAUUUCGGUCUGUAAAGCUCUAUCAGCAGGGAAGAAAAUGACGGUACCUGACUAUGAAGCCCCGGCUAACUACGUGCCAGCAGCCGCGGUAAUACGUAGGGGGCAAGCGUUAUCCGGAUUUACUGGGUGUAAAGGGAGCGUAGACGGCUGUGCAAGCCAGAUGUGAAAGCCCGGGGCUCAACCCCGGGACUGCAUUUGGAACUGUGUGGCUGGAGUGUCGGAGAGGCAGGCGGAAUUCUUAGUGUAGCGGUGAAAUGCAUAGAUAUUAGGAGGAACACCAGUGGCGAAGGCGGCUUACUGGACUGUAACUGACACUGAGGCUCGAAAGCGUGGGGAGCAAACAGGAUUAGAUACCCUCGUA